UAUUUUUGAUCCAUUAUGAAAGACUCAAAAAACAAGCAUAUUUUCAAAUGGCGUUCUGCACAGUCAGUGAUGUAUCUGUGCUUGAUGCCACUAUUCUUCACAAAAUGUGAUAAUAAUGUUAUCUGUUAACAUAAAAACAAAGUUUGACUCCACAGAAGCAGCUGGAAAUGGAUAACCAUAAUAUGCUUAAAUCUCUUAGGAACACACUGUUUGAUAUAUACUGCUAAAAGUUCCUCAUAUUUAGGAAUUCUUUUAAGCGAAAUACUUGUGCUGAGUCUCAGCUGGUGUGCAUGAAGGAAUAUUCGUUUCCCAGUGGUAACAUGGAAUUUGAUUUUUUAACCUUUUUAAUGUAUAUUUAAUGGAUUGAAACACUUUGAAGAAAAAAACCCCCUACAUUUCUGGUC
rfam:Pygoscelis adeliae contig85796, whole genome shotgun sequence.